rnacentral:rRNA from 1 species
AUUGAACGCUGGCGGCAGGCCUAACACAUGCAAGUCGAACGGAGUGGCGGACGGGUGAGUAACGCGUAGGUAACUGCCUCAUAGCGGGGGAUAACUAUUGGAAACGAUAGCUAAUACCGCAUACUGUGAGGUGGACCUGCGUUGUAUUAGCUAGUUGGUGAGGUAAAGUCUCACCAAGGCGACGAUAGAUAGCCGACCUGAGGGGGUCAGAGGCCACACUCGGACUGAGACACGGGCCAGACUCCGACGGGAUGCAUCAGUAGGGAAUCUUCGGCAAUGGACGGAAGUCUGACCGAGCAACGCCGCGGGAGUGAAGAAGGUUUUCGGAUCGUAAAGCUCUGUUGUCAGAGAAGCGGGAACUAACCAGAAAGGGACGGCUAACUACGUGCCAGCAGCCGCGGUAAUAC